rnacentral:hammerhead_ribozyme from 1 species
GCACUGCUGACGAGUCCCGAACAGGACGAAAGAGCUGUCCAGUGC